rnacentral:pre_miRNA from 14 species
UCUUCGGAGAUGAGGGUGGUCGCCAAUCAUGGAAGAGCCCCCAAAUGAAAGACCCCUGAAGUGGGGAGACCCUCACUCAAGUCUCAGGAUGACACAACCCUCCAAGAACUCACGAGACA